UACGAAGGGGGCUAGCGUUGCUCGGAAUCACUGGGCGUAAAGGGUGCGUAGGCGGGUUUUAAGUCAGAGGUGAAAUCCUGGAGCUCAACUCCAGAACUGCCUUUGAUACUGAAAGUCUUGAGUAUGGGAGAGGUGAGUGGAACUGCGAGUGUAGAGGUGAAAUUCGUAGAUAUUCGCAAGAACACCAGUGGCGAAGGCGGCUCACUGGCCCGAUACUGACGGCUGAGGCACGGAAAGCGUGGGGAGCAACAGG
rnacentral:rRNA from 1 species